GACGAACGCUGGCGGCGUGCUUAACACAUGCAAGUCGAACGGAAAGGCCCUGCUUUUGUGGGGUGCUCGAGUGGCGAACGGGGGAGUAACACGUGAGUAACCUGCCCUUGACUUUGGGAUAACUUCAGGAAACUGGGGCUAAUACCGGAUAGGAGCUCCUGCUGCAUGGUGGGGGUGGGAAAGUUUCGGCGGUUGGGGAUGGAUUAGCGGCUUAUGAGCUUGUUGGUGGGGUAGUGGUUUACCAAGGCUUGGACGGGUAGCCGGCCUGGGAGGGUGACCGGGGUCCAGAGUACUGAGGGACGGCCCAGACGGGUACGGGGGGCAGCGGUGGGGAGUAUGGCACAAUGGGCGGGAGCCUGAUGCGAAGACGCCGCGUGCGGGAUGACGGCCUUCGGGUUGUGAACCGCUGUCGCCUGUGACGAAGCGUGAGUGACGGUAAUGGGUAAAGAAGCACCGGCUAACUACGUG
rnacentral:rRNA from 1 species